CGCAUAACGUCGCAAGACCAAAGAGGGGGACCUUCGGGCCUCUUGCCAUCGGAUGGGCCCAGAUGGGAUUGGCUUGUUGGUGGGGUAACGGCUCACCAAGGCGGCGAUCCCUAGCUGGUCUGAGAGGAUGACCAGCCACACUGGAACUGAGACACGGUCCAGACUCCUACGGGAGGCAGCAGUGGGGAAUAUUGCACAAUGGGCGCAAGCCUGAUGCAGCCAUGCCGCGUGUAUGAAGAAGGCCUUCGGGUUGUAAAGUACUUUCAGCGGGGAGGAAGGGAGUAAAGUUAAUACCUUUGCUCAUUGACGUUACCCGCAGAAGAAGCACCGGCUAACUCCGUGCCAGCAGCCGCGGUAAUACGGAGGGUGCAAGCGUUAAUCGGAAUUACUGGGCGUAAAGCGCACGCAGGCGGUUUGUUAAGUCAGAUGUGAAAUCCCCGGGCUCAACCUGGGAACUGCAUCUGAUACUGGCAAGCUUGAGUCUCGUAGAGGGGGGUAGAAUUCCAGGUGUAGCGGUGAAAUGCGUAGAGAUCUGGAGGAAUACCGGUGGCGAAGGCGGCCCCCUGGACGAAGACUGACGCUCAGGUGCGAAAGCGUGGGGAGCAAACAGGAUUAGAUACCC
rnacentral:rRNA from 1 species